rnacentral:rRNA from 1 species
CCUACGGGACGCAGCAGUGAGGAAUAUUGGUCAAUGGACGUAAGUCUGAACCAGCCAUGUCGCGUGCAGGAUGACGGCCCUAUGAGUUGUAAACUGCUUUUGUACGAGGGUAAAAUCCGUCACGUGUAUUGUGUUGUAAGUACCGCACGAAUAAGGACCGGCUAACUCCGUGCCAGCAGCCGCGGUAAUACGGAAGGUCCGGGCGUUAUCCGGAUUUAUUGGGUUUAAAGGGUGCGUAGGCGGUUUGUUAAGCUAGCCGUGAAAUGUCGGGGCUCAACCCCGGAACUGCGGCGAAUACUGUUGGGCUAGAGAAUGGGUACGGUAGGCGGAAUGUAUGGUGUAGCGGUGAAAUGCUUAGAGAUCAUACAGAACACCGAUUGCGAAGGCAGCAUACCAAACUAUAACUGACGUUGAGGCACGAAGGCGUGGGUAGCGAACAGGAUUAGAUACCCCAGUAGUC